UACGAAGGGGGCUAGCGUUGCUCGGAAUUACUGGGCGUAAAGCGCACGUAGGCGGCUUUCUAAGUCGGGGGUGAAAUCCUGGAGCUCAACUCCAGAACUGCCUUCGAUACUGGAGAGCUUGAGUCCGGGAGAGGUGAGUGGAACUCCGAGUGUAGAGGUGAAAUUCGUAGAUAUUCGCAAGAACACCAGUGGCGAAGGCGGCUCACUGGCCCGAUACUGACGCUGAGGCACGAAAGCGUGGGGAGCAAACAGG
rnacentral:rRNA from 1 species